CGUGGGCAACCUGCCCUUUGCACUGGGAUAGCCUCGGGAAACCGAGGUUAAUACCGGAUACUCCAUAUUUGUCGCAUGGCGAAUAUGGGAAAGCUCCGGCGGCAAAGGAUGGGCCCGCGGCCUGUUAGCUAGUUGGUGGGGUAGUGGCCUACCAAGGCAAUGAUGGGUAGCCGGGUUGAGAGACCGACCGGCCAGAUUGGGACUGAGACACGGCCCAGACUCCUACGGGAGGCAGCAGAA
rnacentral:rRNA from 1 species